rnacentral:rRNA from 1 species
CCUACGGGGGGCUGCAGUGAGGAAUAUUGGUCAAUGGACGCGAGUCUGAACCAGCCAAGUAGCGUGAAGGAUGACUGCCCUAUGGGUUGUAACCUUCUUUUAUAUGGGAAUAAAGUGUGGCACGUGUACCUUUUUGUAUGUACUUUAUGAAUAAGGAUCGGCUAACUCCGUGCCAGCAGCCGCGGUAAUACGGAGGAUCCGAGCGUUCUCCGGAUUUAUUGGGUUUAAAGGGAGCGUAGAUGGGUUGUUAAGUCAGUUGUGAAAGUUUGCGGCUCAACCGUAAAAUUGCAGUUGAUACUGGCAGUAUUGAGUACAGUAGAGGUAGGCGGAAUUCGUGGUGUAGCGGUGAAAUGCUUAGAUAUCACGAAGAACUCCGAUUGCGAAGGCAGCUUACUGGACUGCAACUGACACUGAUGCUCGAAAGUGUGGGUAUCAAACAGGAUUAGAUACCCUGGUAGUC